CCUACGGGCGGCAGCAGUGAGGAAUAUUGGUCAAUGGACGCAAGUCUGAACCAGCCAUGCCGCGUGCUGGAAGACGGCUCUAUGAGUUGUAAACUGCUUUUGUACGAGGGUAAACUCAGAUACGCGUAUCUUUCUGAAAGUAUCGUACGAAUAAGGAUCGGCUAACUCCGUGCCAGCAGCCGCGGUAAUACGGAGGAUUCAAGCGUUAUCCGGAUUUAUUGGGUUUAAAGGGUGCGUAGGCGGUCGGAUAAGUUAGCGGUGAAAGCCCGAGGCUCAACUUCGGAAUUGCCUUUGAUACUGUCAGGCUAGAGAGUAGUAGCGGUAGGCGGAAUGUAUGGUGUAGCGAUGAAAUGCUUAGAGAUCAUACAGAACACCGAUUGCGAAGGCAGCUUACCAAGCUACGUCUGACGUUGAGGCACGAAAGCGUGGGUAUCGAACAGGAUUAGAUACCCGGGUAGUC
rnacentral:rRNA from 1 species